GGCCAGCAGCCGCGGUAAUACGGAGGGUGCUAGCGUUGUUCGGAAUCACUGGGCGUAAAGCGCGUGUAGGCGGCCAAUUAAGUCUGGUGUGAAAGCCCGGGGCUCACCCCCGGAAGUGCGCUGGAAACUGAUUGGCUAGAGUAUGGGAGAGGGAAGCGGAAUUCCUGGUGUAGCGGUGAAAUGCGUAGAUAUCAGGAGGAACACCGGCGGCGAAGGCGGCUUCCUGGACCAAUACUGACGCUGAGACGCGAAAGCGUGGGGAGCAAACAGGAUUAGAUA
rnacentral:rRNA from 1 species